CAUAUUACUAAGCGGAGGAAAAGAAACUAACAAGGAUCUCCUCAGUAACGGCGAGUGAAGAGGAGCAAGCCCAGCGCCGAAGCCGGGGCUUUCAGCCCAGGCCAUGUGGCGUAUGGAAGGACGUCAGUGCCGGUGCGUGAGCAUACUGUUCCCUUGAUCGGGACCUUACCCAGCGAAGGUGUAAGGCCUGUUUUUGCUCGCGUGUCGGUGCUUUCGGUCUCUUCCGAGAGUCGGGUUGUUUGUGAAUGCAGCCCAAAGUGGGUGGUAAACACCAUCUAAGGCUAAAUAUGAACACGAGUCCGAUAGCCAACAAGUACCGUGAGGGAAAGUUGAAAAGAACUUUGAAGAGAGAGUUCAAUAGUACGUGAAACCGUUCAAAGUCAAGCGGGUGGAACCGCAAAGGUGUGGUGUGAAUUCACUCCGGUAACCGGUCGCUUGGGCGGCGUUGGGCAUGGGUUCGCUUGUCGGACCUGACCCUCGCCAUUAAAUGCGAUCGUGUGACCGGAUGCAUUUUUGCACCUCACGCGUUGCGAUGGGCCUGUGGGGCGAUCGGCCGGUUACUGUGAAGCCGGACACUUCGGUGGGCCGGUGGAUUCAGUUGCCAAGAGUCCAAUCGAUCUCCAGGUCCAGGAUGAGCAUGUCCGACAAAGGGCGUGGUGCAAUCGGACGGCUGGUGGCAUGCAGUGCGUUAACUGCUUCGGUAGUGGCGCGCCGUGUGCUGCCUUCACACAAGUCUGUGCGCUUUCCACAUGGACAGUGCUCGAUCAGCGACGAUGUGGCCGGAUCUCCACCCGACCCGUCUUGAAACACGGACCAAGGAGUCUAGCUUGUGCGCGAGUCAAUGGGCAUCAUACGAAACCCAAAGGCGCAAUGAAAGUAACUGUGUCGCAUUUGUGGCACAGGGUGGGAUGGCUGGUCGUUCAGGCCGGCUCGCACCACCGGCCCGUCCAAAUGGCCGCGUGCUAUGGGCGGAGCAUGAGCGUACAAGCCGGUACCCGAAAGAUGGUGAACUAUGACUGGAUAGGGCGAAGCCAGAGGAAACUCUGGUGGAAGCUCGUAGCGAUGUUGACGUGCAAAUCAUUCGUCAAAUCUGGUUAUAGGGGCGAAAGACUAAUCGAACCAUCUAGUAGCUGGUUCCCUCCGAAGUUUCCCUCAGGAUAGCUGGUGCUCGAAUGAUGCAGUUUUAUCCGGUAAAGCGAAUGAUUAGAGGCAUUGGGAACGAAACGUUCUCAACCUAUUCUCAAACUUUGAAUGGGUAAGAAGCCAGUGCUCUCUUAAUUGGAGCGUGGCAUUGAAUGCGAGCGCCCAGUGGGCCACUUUUGGUAAGCAGAACUGGCGCUGUGGGAUGAACCAAACGUUCGGUUAAGGGCGCCGAACAAUGACGCUCAUGAGAUACCAUAAAAGGUGUUGGCUGAUACAGACAGCAGGACGGUGGCCAUGGAAGUUGGAAUCCGCUAAGGAGUGUGUAACAACUCACCUGCCGAAUCAGCUAGCCCUGAAAAUGGAUGGCGCUUGAGCGUCGGGCCUAUACCGAACCGUUGUUGCAAAACCGAGCAAUCGGUGACAAGCAACAACGAGUAGGAGGGUCACUGCGGUAAGCACUGAAGCCUCCGACGUGAGUCGGGGUGGAGCUGCCGCAGGAGCAGAUCUUGGUGGUAGUAGCAAAUCCUCAAACGAGAACUUUGAGGGCCGAAGCGGGGAAGGGUUCCAUGUGAACAGCAGUUGGACAUGGGUCAGUCGGUCCUAAGAGAUGGGAGAACUCUGUUCUGACUGUGGGCACUGCCGCCUUGCUGUUGCCCGCUGCCCGUCUCGAAAGGGAAUCGGGUUAAUAUUCCCGAACCCGGACAUGGAGAUUGGCUCAAAAAAGCCCAGUGCGGUAACGCAAACGAACUCGGAGACGUUGGCAGAGGCCUCGGGAAGAGUUGUCUUUUCUUUGUAAGGGUCAAACUCCCUGGAAUCGACUUGCUCGGAGAUAGGGACGUUGUACCCGCAAAGCACCGCGGCUCUUGCGGUGUCCGAUGCGCCUCUGCUGGCCCUUGAAAAUCCGAGGGAGACGAUGAUUUUCAUGUCGGUCCGUACCCAUAUCCGCAUCCGGUCCCCAAGGUUAACAGCCUUUGGCCGAUAAGUGAAUGCAUGCAAGGGAAGUCGGCAAAUUGGAUCCGUAACUUCGGAAGAAGGAUUGGCUCUAAGGGCUGGGCUAGUCGGGCUUCAUCGUGAAGCUGGUACGGGACUGGUAGGGCUGGGCGUUGUUGGUCUCUGCGGUUCGUGAUUGCUUAACGGCGGUUGCGGCCGUGGAGGCCGACGAUGCUCGGACCAUAACCGGUACCGCCCAGUGAAUCGUUGUAGCUGUGCGGGUGUCACAAUGCCCGCUGGGCGACGGCUUCGAAAGGGGCCGGAGCUCAGUGGGCGUGGCAACUCUGCUUCGGCUGGCGUAUAACAG
rnacentral:rRNA from 1 species